rnacentral:rRNA from 1 species
CAGUCGCCGCGGGAAUACGAAGGGGGCUAGCGUUGUUCGGAAUCACUGGGCGUAAAGCGCACGUAGGCGGAUCAUUAAGUCAGGGGUGAAAUCCCGAGGCUCAACCUCGGAACUGCCUUUGAUACUGGUGAUCUUGAGUCCGGGAGAGGUGAGUGGAACUGCGAGUGUAGAGGUGAAAUUCGUAGAUAUUCGCAAGAACACCAGUGGCGAAGGCGGCUCACUGGCCCGGAACUGACGCUGAGGUGCGAAAGCGUGGGGAGCAAACAGGAUUAGAUACCCCUGUAGUCCCUGUCUCUUAACA